rnacentral:rRNA from 1 species
AUGAUACAACUUGUUGAGAGAAACUCAUUUGGCAGGAUAAAAGAAUUCAGAAUGCAUGAUAUCUUACGUGAAUUGGCAGUUCAUCUAUGCCAGAAGGACUGCUUUGGUGUUACAUAUGAGGAUAAAUGUGGGAAAUCACUUGAGAUGGAUGUACGUCGACUGGUACUGCAUAAAGUAACGAAGGAUAUUUAUCAGAGAUUAUCUGGUAUGCACCGAUUUAGAACUGUCAUUACAGUGGACAAUAGCGUACCAACGUUCACUAUACUACCUCUGCUAUGUAAGAAGUCAAGAUAUAUGACAGUGUUAGAAUUAAGUGGUCUACCCAUUGAGAAGAUCCCAGUUGCUAUUGGAGAUCUUUUCAAUCUCUGCCAUUUGGGUCUACGUAAUUCAAAAGUGAAGAUGCUUCCAAUGUCUGUUGACAAGCUUUCAAAUUUGUUGACACUGGACCUUGCUAGAUCUGACAUACAUGAGGUGCCUAGUGGGAUUGUGAAAUUGAAGAAGCUUAGGCACUUAUUUGUUGAGAAAAAAAUUGAUCCAAAUUGGAGAGCAUUUAAGUGUUCCAGUGGUGUGCAUAUUGCCAGUGGUCUUGGAAAUCCGACAAACCUGCAGACGCUCCGAGCAUUGGAAGCACAUGACGGAUCUAUUAGACAUUUAGGUGAGCUGAGGCAACUAAGAAGCUUGAGGUUGUGGAAUGUGAAGGGAAUCUACUGUGGGCGCAUUAGGGACUCUCUAGUUCAAAUGCGGUAUUUGUCCAACCUUUCUGUGAGCGCCAGUGAUGAGAAUGAGGUUCUCUUGUUGAAUGUCCUGCCAAACCUGCGAAAGCUAGUUUUGAGAGGGCGACUGGCGGAAGGGGCGUUGAAUGAGUCUCUUCUCUUCCAACCUGUUGGGGGGCAGAACUUGUAUAGACUGUCUCUAUCUUGGUCACAACUGAGGGAAGACCCUUUGCCAUCGCUUUCUCGGCUGUCUAAUUUGACGCAAAUACAUUUCACCAGAGCAUACAACGGAGAGCAUCUAGCAUUUCUCACGAGGUGGUUUCCCAAGCUGAAGACUCCUCAGUUGGGAGACCUGCCUAAUCUGAAGCAGCUAGAGAUACAACGAGGUGCCAUGGCAAACCUGGAAAGAUUAUUCUUAAUCAACCUCAACAGCAUGAUGGAGGUCCCACCUGGCAUUGAGUUCCUCAUGCCCCUCCAGCGUCUCGGCUUCCACGAAAUCACAAAUGAAGGAAUGAAGAGGCUUCGCUAUGAUGUUCAUUAUUGCAGAUCAAGGAAAAGGACAGAUCCGAUUGCGCAUAGUGUCUGGGACUCCUCUGCUUUCUUAAGGCGCCAUUUGCUGCUUGUUCCACCUCCACUACGGUGA